rnacentral:rRNA from 1 species
GGGGAAUUUUGGACAAUGGGGGCAACCCUGAUCCAGCCAUGCCGCGUGAGUGAAGAAGGCCUUCGGGUUGUAAAGCUCUUUCGGCCGGGAAGAAAUCGUGCAGGCUAAUACCCAAGAUGAGUGGACGUUACUCGCAGAAUAAGCACCGGCUAACUACGUGCCAGCAGCCGCGGUAAUACGUAGGGUGCGAGCGUUAAUCGGAAUUACUGGGCGUAAAGCGUGCGCAGGCGGUUUUGUAAGACAGGCGUGAAAUCCCCGGGCUCAACCUGGGAACUGCGCUUGUGACUGCAAGACUAGAGUACGGCAGAGGGGGGUGGAAUUCCACGUGUAGCAGUGAAAUGCGUAGAGAUGUGGAGGAACACCAAUGGCGAAGGCAGCCCCCUGGGUCGAUACUGACGCUCAUGCACGAAAGCGUGGGGAGCAAACA